UGGGGAAUAUUGCACAAUGGGCGAAAGCCUGAUGCAGCGACGCCGCGUGAGGGAUGACGGCCUUCGGGUUGUAAACCUCUUUCAGCAGGGAAGAAGCGAAAGUGACGGUACCUGCAGAAGAAGCGCCGGCUAACUACGUGCCAGCAGCCGCGGUAAUACGUAGGGCGCAAGCGUUGUCCGGAAUUAUUGGGCGUAAAGAGCUCGUAGGCGGUUAGUCGCGUCUGCUGUGAAAACUCGAGGCUCAACCUCGGGCUUGCAGUGGGUACGGGCUGACUAGAGUGCGGUAGGGGUGACUGGAAUUCCUGGUGUAGCGGUGGAAUGCGCAGAUAUCAGGAGGAACACCGAUGGCGAAGGCAGGUCACUGGGCCGCAACUGACGCUGAGGAGCGAAAGCAUGGGGAGCGAACAGGAUUAGAUAGCCCUGGUAGUCCAUGCCGUAAACGUUGGCACUAGGUGUGGGGUCCAUUCCACGGAUUCCCGUGCCGCAGCAAACGCAUUAAGUGCCCCGCCUGGGGAGUACGGCCGCAAGGCUAAAACUCAAAGGAAUUGACGGGGUCAUAGCUGUUUCCU
rnacentral:rRNA from 1 species